UGCGAACUCCUACGGGAGGCAGCAGUGAGGAAUCUUCCACAAUGGGCGAAAGCCUGAUGGAGCAACGCCGCGUGAAGGAUGAAGGCCUUCGGGUUGUAAACUUCUUUUAUGAGUGAAGAAUAUGACGGUAACUCAUGAAUAAGCACCGGCUAACUACGUGCCAGCAGCCGCGGUCAUACGUAGGGUGCAAGCAUUAUCCGGAGUGACUGGGCGUAAAGAGUUGCGUAGGCGGUUUAAUAAGUGAAUAGUGAAACCUGGUGGCUCAACCAUACAGACUAUUAUUCAAACUGUUAAACUCGAGAAUGGUAGAGGUAACUGGAAUUUCUAGUGUAGGAGUGAAAUCCGUAGAUAUUAGAAGGAACACCGAUGGCGUAGGCAGGUUACUGGGCCAUUUCUGACGCUAAGGCACGAAAGCGUGGGGAGCGAACCGGAUUAGAUACCCUUGUAGUCCU
rnacentral:rRNA from 1 species